CCCGCUGAACUUAAGCAUAUCAAUAAGCGGAGGAAAAGAAACCAACAGGGAUUGCCCUAGUAACGGCGAGUGAAGCGGCAACAGCUCAAAUUUGAAAUCUGGCGCAAGCCCGAGUUGUAAUUUGUAGAGGAUGCUUCUGGGUAGCGACCGAUCUAAGUUCCUUGGAACAGGACGUCAUAGAGGGUGAGAAUCCCGUAUGUGACCGGCCCGCACCCUUUACGUAGCUCCUUCGACGAGUCGAGUUGUUUGGGAAUGCAGCUCUAAAUGGGAGGUAAAUUUCUUCUAAAGCUAAAUACCGGCCAGAGACCGAUAGCGCACAAGUAGAGUGAUCGAAAGAUGAAAAGUACUUUGGAAAGAGAGUUAAAAAGCACGUGAAAUUGUUGAAAGGGAAGCGCCUGCAACCAGACUUCGCGGCAGUGUUCCGCCGGUCUUCUGACCGGUUCAUUCUCUGUCGCGAGGCCAUCAUCGUCUGGGCCCGCCGGAUAAGACCUGAGGAAUGUGGCUCCCCCUCGGGGGAGUGUUAUAGCCUCUGGUGAUGCGGCGUGGCUCGGGCGAGGUCCGCGCUUCGGCAAGGAUGAUGGCGUAAUGGUUGUCGGCGGCCCGUCUUGAAACACGGACCAAGGAGUCUAACAUCUAUGCGAGUGUUCGGGUGUCAAACCCCUACGCGUAAUGAAAGUGAACGGAGGUGGGAACCGCAAGGUGCACCAUCGACCGAUCCUGAUGUCCUCGGAUGGAUUUGAGUAAGAGCAUAGCUGUUGGGACCCGAAAGAUGGUGAACUAUGCCUGAAUAGGGUGAAGCCAGAGGAAACUCUGGUGGAGGCUCGCAGCGGUUCUGACGUGCAAAUCGAUCGUCAAAUUUGGGUAUAGGGGCGAAAGACUAAUCGAA
rnacentral:rRNA from 1 species